rnacentral:rRNA from 1 species
AUACGGAGGGUCCAAGCGUUAUCCGGAAUCAUUGGGUUUAAAGGGUCCGCAGGCGGUCAAUUAAGUCAGAGGUGAAAGCCCUUCGCUCAACGAUGGAACUGCCUUUGAUACUGGUUGACUUGAGUUAUACGGAAGUAGAUAGAAUAAGUAGUGUAGCGGUGAAAUGCAUAGAUAUUACUUAGAAUACCGAUUGCGAAGGCAGUCUACUACGUAUAUACUGACGCUGAGGGACGAAAGCGUGGGGAGCGAACAGGAUUAGAAACCCCGGUAGUCC